GCCUCUUUUUCUAUUAUUUCCCUCUACUCACUCUCUUUUCUCUCACUUCACCCAAAACCAACCCCCAAAAUCUAAAUCGAUUUCUGCCCAAAAUUCAACUCUCUUCUUCAAAGUCGAUUUCUGUCAAAAGCCGCUUCAAAUAGUUGUGUAAUGUGAUACUUCAAUCGGAGAAGUUACUACUUAAAAGAUGCAAUCAGAUCGAGUUUGGAACUUUGAAAAAAAUUAAAAAAUUAUGGUGGAACUUGGUGAUGAAAAAGGAAGUGACAAUGGUUCAAAUUUGCUUGUGAGAUUUCUUGGCAAACUUUCUCAAAUGUUUGUAUUUUGUCCCAUAUUAGUUGAGUGAUGGGAUAAGAUACCACAUGAAAAAACAAAACGACAAUGGCAACUUAUUGAG